AGAAUUUAAGUUAAAAAAACUAUUGACCUUCAAAGUCAAAUUUAGAAAUAUAUCUAAUUCUUAA
rnacentral:tRNA from 1 species